rnacentral:lncRNA from 1 species
UGAAUGUGAAGAGGGAGGGGAAAAUAGAAACAUAAAUUGAUCAUGAGAGGAAUUUCAUUUGAUCAAUACCAUCAUGAAGAGGGAGGGGAAAAUAGAAACAUAAAUUGAUCAUGAGAGGAAUUUCAUUUGAUCAAUACCAUCCAUUCAUUUUGGGAGAUGAAACGUACAUUUCAUCAAUCCCCUAAAUCCAAUGGUUUUG